rnacentral:rRNA from 1 species
AGGACGAACGCUGGCGGCGUGCUUAACACAUGCAAGUCGAGCGGAAGGGCCCUUCGGGGUACUCGAGCGGCGAACGGGUGAGUAACACGUGAGUAAUCUGCCCCUAGCUCUGGGAUAGCUCCGGGAAACCGGGAUUAAUACCAGAUACGACCACUUUAGACAUCUGCUGUGGUGGAAAGAUUUCGGCUAGGGAUGAGCUCGCGGCCUAUCAGCUUGUUGGUGAGGUAACGGCUCACCAAGGCGACGACGGGUAGCCGGCCUGAGAGGGCGACCGGGCCACGACUGGGACUGAGACACGGCCCAGACUCCUACGGGAGGCAGCAGUGGGGAAUAUUGCGCAAUGGGCGAAAGCCUGACGCAGCGACGCGCGUGGGGAUGAAGGCUUCGGUUGUAACCCUUUCAGCAGGACGAAGCGAAGUGACGGUACCUGCAGAAGAAGCGCCGGCUAACUACGUGCCAGCAGCCGC